UUCGUGAACAUAGCAGACUGCUCAGUAACACGUGGAUAACCUGCCCUUAGGACUGGCAUAACCCCGGGAAACUGGGGAUAAUUCCGGAUAGAUCAUAAAUGCUGGAAUGCUUUAUGAUUGAAAGGUUUCGACCGCCUUAGGGUGGAUCUGCGGCCUAUCAGGUUGUAGUGGGUGUAAUGUACCUACUAGCCUACGACGGGUACGGGUUGUGGAAGCAAGAGCCCGGAGAUGGAUUCUGAGACAUGAAUCCAGGCCCUACGGGGCGCAGCAGGCGCGAAAACUUUACAAUGCGGGAAACCGUGAUAAGGGAACACUGAGUGCUAGCAUUUAUGUUAGCUGUCCACAUGUGUAAAUAGCAUGUGAUAGCAAGGGCUGGGCAAGACCGGUGCCAGCCGCCGCGGUAACACCGGCAGCCCGAGUGGUGAUCACUAUUAUUGGGUCUAAAGGGUCCGUAGCCGGUUUAAUCAGUCUUCUGGGAAAUCUAAUCGCUUAACUAUUAGGCUUCCAGGGGAUACUGUUAGACUUGGGACCGGGAGAGGUAAGAGGUACUGCAGGGGUAGGAGUGAAAUCUUGUAAUCCCUGUGAGACCACCAGUGGCGAAGGCGUCUUACCAGAACGGGUCCGACGGUGAGGGACGAAAGCUGGGGGCACGAACCGGAUUAGAUACCCGGGUAGUCCCAGCUGUAAACGAUGCUCGUUAGGUGUCAGGAACGGUGCGACUGUUUCUGGUGCCGAAC
rnacentral:rRNA from 1 species